rnacentral:rRNA from 1 species
GGUUAAGCGACUAAGCGUACACGGUGGAUGCCCUGGCAGUCAGAGGCGAUGAAGGACGUGCUAAUCUGCGAUAAGCGUCGGUAAGGUGAUAUGAACCGUUAUAACCGGCGAUUUCCGAAUGGGGAAACCCAGUGUGUUUCGACACACUAUCAUUAACUGAAUCCAUAGGUUAAUGAGGCGAACCGGGGGAACUGAAACAUCUAAGUACCCCGAGGAAAAGAAAUCAACCGAGAUUCCCCCAGUAGCGGCGAGCGAACGGGGAGGAGCCCAGAGCCUGAAUCAGUGUGUGUGUUAGUGGAAGCGUCUGGAAAGGCGCGCGAUACAGGGUGACAGCCCCGUACACAAAAAUGCACAUGCUGUGAGCUCGAUGAGUAGGGCGGGACACGUGGUAUCCUGUCUGAAUAUGGGGGGACCAUCCUCCAAGGCUAAAUACUCCUGACUGACCGAUAGUGAACCAGUACCGUGAGGGAAAGGCGAAAAGAACCCCGGCGAGGGGAGUGAAAAAGAACCUGAAACCGUGUACGUACAAGCAGUGGGAGCCUCUUUUAUGGGGUGACUGCGUACCUUUUGUAUAAUGGGUCAGCGACUUAUAUUCUGUAGCAAGGUUAACCGAAUAGGGGAGCCGAAGGGAAACCGAGUCUUAACUGGGCGUUAAGUUGCAGGGUAUAGACCCGAAACCCGGUGAUCUAGCCAUGGGCAGGUUGAAGGUUGGGUAACACUAACUGGAGGACCGAACCGACUAAUGUUGAAAAAUUAGCGGAUGACUUGUGGCUGGGGGUGAAAGGCCAAUCAAACCGGGAGAUAGCUGGUUCUCCCCGAAAGCUAUUUAGGUAGCGCCUCGUGAAUUCAUCUCCGGGGGUAGAGCACUGUUUCGGCAAGGGGGUCAUCCCGACUUACCAACCCGAUGCAAACUGCGAAUACCGGAGAAUGUUAUCACGGGAGACACACGGCGGGUGCUAACGUCCGUCGUGAAGAGGGAAACAACCCAGACCGCCAGCUAAGGUCCCAAAGUCAUGGUUAAGUGGGAAACGAUGUGGGAAGGCCCAGACAGCCAGGAUGUUGGCUUAGAAGCAGCCAUCAUUUAAAGAAAGCGUAAUAGCUCACUGGUCGAGUCGGCCUGCGCGGAAGAUGUAACGGGGCUAAACCAUGCACCGAAGCUGCGGCAGCGACACUGUGUGUUGUUGGGUAGGGGAGCGUUCUGUAAGCCUGUGAAGGUGUACUGUGAGGUAUGCUGGAGGUAUCAGAAGUGCGAAUGCUGACAUAAGUAACGAUAAAGCGGGUGAAAAGCCCGCUCGCCGGAAGACCAAGGGUUCCUGUCCAACGUUAAUCGGGGCAGGGUGAGUCGACCCCUAAGGCGAGGCCGAAAGGCGUAGUCGAUGGGAAACAGGUUAAUAUUCCUGUACUUGGUGUUACUGCGAAGGGGGGACGGAGAAGGCUAUGUUGGCCGGGCGACGGUUGUCCCGGUUUAAGCGUGUAGGCUGGUUUUCCAGGCAAAUCCGGAAAAUCAAGGCUGAGGCGUGAUGACGAGGCACUACGGUGCUGAAGCAACAAAUGCCCUGCUUCCAGGAAAAGCCUCUAAGCAUCAGGUAACAUCAAAUCGUACCCCAAACCGACACAGGUGGUCAGGUAGAGAAUACCAAGGCGCUUGAGAGAACUCGGGUGAAGGAACUAGGCAAAAUGGUGCCGUAACUUCGGGAGAAGGCACGCUGAUAUGUAGGUGAAGUCCCUCGCGGAUGGAGCUGAAAUCAGUCGAAGAUACCAGCUGGCUGCAACUGUUUAUUAAAAACACAGCACUGUGCAAACACGAAAGUGGACGUAUACGGUGUGACGCCUGCCCGGUGCCGGAAGGUUAAUUGAUGGGGUCAGCGCAAGCGAAGCUCUUGAUCGAAGCCCCGGUAAACGGCGGCCGUAACUAUAACGGUCCUAAGGUAGCGAAAUUCCUUGUCGGGUAAGUUCCGACCUGCACGAAUGGCGUAAUGAUGGCCAGGCUGUCUCCACCCGAGACUCAGUGAAAUUGAACUCGCUGUGAAGAUGCAGUGUACCCGCGGCAAGACGGAAAGACCCCGUGAACCUUUACUAUAGCUUGACACUGAACAUUGAGCCUUGAUGUGUAGGAUAGGUGGGAGGCUUAGAAGUGUGGACGCCAGUCUGCAUGGAGCCGACCUUGAAAUACCACCCUUUAAUGUUUGAUGUUCUAACGUUGACCCGUGAUCCGGGUUGCGGACAGUGUCUGGUGGGUAGUUUGACUGGGGCGGUCUCCUCCUAAAGAGUAACGGAGGAGCACGAAGGUUGGCUAAUCCUGGUCGGACAUCAGGAGGUUAGUGCAAUGGCAUAAGCCAGCUUGACUGCGAGCGUGACGGCGCGAGCAGGUGCGAAAGCAGGUCAUAGUGAUCCGGUGGUUCUGAAUGGAAGGGCCAUCGCUCAACGGAUAAAAGGUACUCCGGGGAUAACAGGCUGAUACCGCCCAAGAGUUCAUAUCGACGGCGGUGUUUGGCACCUCGAUGUCGGCUCAUCACAUCCUGGGGCUGAAGUAGGUCCCAAGGGUAUGGCUGUUCGCCAUUUAAAGUGGUACGCGAGCUGGGUUUAGAACGUCGUGAGACAGUUCGGUCCCUAUCUGCCGUGGGCGCUGGAGAACUGAGGGGGGCUGCUCCUAGUACGAGAGGACCGGAGUGGACGCAUCACUGGUGUUCGGGUUGUCAUGCCAAUGGCACUGCCCGGUAGCUAAAUGCGGAAGAGAUAAGUGCUGAAAGCAUCUAAGCACGAAACUUGCCCCGAGAUGAGUUCUCCCUGACCCUUUAAGGGUCCUGAAGGAACGUUGAAGACGACGACGUUGAUAGGCCGGGUGUGUAAGCGCAGCGAUGCGUUGAGCUAACCGGUACUAAUGAACCGUGAGGCUUAACCUU